rnacentral:rRNA from 1 species
GAGGGCCGUGUGGGAGAGAUACUACGUGUUACUCACCCGUCCGCCACUCGUUGGCCACCAAAAUCAAUCAGGUGCAAGCACCAUCAAUCAAUUGGGCCAACGCGUUCGACUUGCAUGUAUUAGGCACACCGCCGGCGUUCAUCCUGAGCCAUGAUCAAACUCUGA